rnacentral:rRNA from 1 species
AAGCGGAGGAAAAGAAACUAACAAGGAUUCCCCUAGUAACUGCGAGUGAAGCGGGAAAAGCUCAAAUUUAAAAUCUGGCAGUCUCUGGCUGUCCGAGUUGUAAUCUAGAGAAGUAAUGCCCGUGCUGGACCGUGUAUAAGUCUCCUGGGAUGGGGCGUCAUAGAGGGUGAGAAUCCCGUCUUUGACACGGACUACCAGUGCAUUGUGGUAUGCUCUCAAAGAGUCGAGUUGUUUGGGAAUGCAGCUCAAAAUGGGUGGUAAAUUCCAUCUAAAGCUAAAUAUUGGCGAGAGACCGAUAGCGAACAAGUACCGUGAGGGAAAGAUGAAAAGAACUUUGGAAAGAGAGUUAAACAGUACGUGAAAUUGCUGAAAGGGAAACGCUUGAAGUCAGUCGCAUUGGCCGGGAAUCAGCCUUGCUUUUGCAUGGUGUACUUUCUGGUUGAUGGGUCAGCAUCAAUUUUGACCGCUGGAAAAAGGCCUGGGGAAUGUGGCAGCUUCGGCUGUGUUAUAGCCCCUAGUUGCAUACAGUGGUUGGGAUUGAGGAACUCAGCACGCCGCAAGGCCGGGUUUCGACCACGUUCGUGCUUAGGAUGCUGGCAUAAUGGCUUUAAGCGACCCGUCUUGAAACACGGACCAAGGAGUCUAACAUGCCUGCGAGUAUUUGGGUGGAAAACUCAAGUGCGUAAUGAAAGUGAAAGUUGAGAUCCCUGUCGUGGGGAGCAUCGACGCCCGGACCAGAACUUUUGGGACGGAUCCGCGGUGGAGCAUGUAUGUUGGGACCCGAAAGAUGGUGAACUAUGCCUGAAUAGGGUGAAGCCAGAGGAAACUCUGGUGGAGGCUCGUAGCGAUUCUGACGUGCAAAUCGAUCGUCAAAUUUGGGUAUAGGGGCGAAAGACUAAUCGAACCAUCUAGUAGCUGGUUCCUGCCGAAUUU